rnacentral:rRNA from 1 species
UGAGGAAUAUUGGUCAAUGGGCGCAAGCCUGAACCAGCCAUCCCGCGUGCAGGAAGACGGCGCUAUGCGUCGUAAACUGCUUUUCCAGGGGGAGAAACUUGCGCACGUGUUGCGCAAUUGACGGUACCCUGGGGAUAGGCAUCGGCUAACUCCGUGCCAGCAGCCGCGGUAAUACGGAGGAUGCGAGCGUUAUCCGGAUUCAUUGGGUUUAAAGGGUGCGUAGGCGGACUAUUAAGUCAGUGGUGAAAUCCUGCAGCUUAACUGCAGAACUGCCAUUGAUACUGAUAGCCUUGAGUUUGGUUAAGGUAGGCGGAAUGUGUAAUGUAGCGGUGAAAUGCUUAGAUAUUACACAGAACACCAAUUGCGUAGGCAGCUUACUGAGCCGACACUGACGCUGAGGCACGAAAGCGUGGGGAUCGAACAG